AAUAACAAAGAGUCAGAAACAAGGGGAGUGGGUCUCUUGAAUCUUCCUCCCUCGCGCCUUUCAGGGUCUCUUCCGACAAGAAUGGGCAGAUCGCAGAGAUCCAAGUAGAUCCCUGCAGUGGAUCGGCAAGGAGUUCGGAGCCCUAGUUGUUAGAGUAGACUGGAAGGAAACUGCUUUCCCACUGCUAUAUGAUCCUGCUGAAAUCCGAAAGAGAAAGCGAGUGGUGGAAGACCCCUGCCUGUCCUCCUCCACUACCUGGACUUCUCAGGGGAAGGCCAAGCAAUGGAGGAGCCUGAGGGGUGAGCAUUUCCUUUAUCGUUACUUCUUCAACUUGAUAGCCUGCCUUUCCUGCACUGAACUCAAGGCACCCUGUGUGGCUCUCCUCGCCUUCCCACUUUGGCCUCCCAACAACUUUGAGAGAUAAGUCAGGAUGAGAAGGUUAAUCGCUGCCCCUGGGGAAUUCUAGGAGCUGCAAGUCAUCUCAUUUGGAUCCAGAAAAAGUGCAUCUUGAGGUCUGCAGGGGGCUGUAAAAUAGCAUUGAAGACCACACGUGGCCCAAGGCUAUGCCAUGUUCACUCCUGCAUUCGCUCGUGGGACAUCAUUUUGUUUGGCUCUUGCAGCCAGGCAUGUUCUUAAGAGGCAUUCCUAUGGAAAGAGCACAUUGACCUGAAGACAUGUGAAGGAUCCAGGCAAUACCAAGAUAAAGGUUAAAUGGGUUUGCUGAUCACUCUGUCCUCCCCCACCAGGCUUUUUGCAUAUCCUCUUGCACUGGAGACAAAGGAGGUCUCAUUGCACUAAGGCAAGUAAGCCCAUUUCUCCUACUUGCCCUCUGUCAUGUCCCCAGACAACUUCCCUAUCCACCCGUCUUGGGGUUGUCCUACAUUCAAUCACUGUUUUGUUAAUCUGAAGCUAAAUCCAUAUACUGAAAUUAUCCUUUUUGAAUUUUGUUUUGGCACAUUAAGUAUCCCUCAAGGCUAGGAUAUUAGAUGUAAAUAUUACCCCAGUUUUAGCCUCAUGUGUACACAGAGGGUCUCUUCCAUUCACUGUGUCACCCUUAGAUACUGUCUAAGGCCCAUUGCAGACCAACACAAAGCACUGGCCUGGGGCUGAAAUUAGGGCUCCGGAAGGCUGGGCGUCCAUACGCAUCCAGCCCUACUAGUGGCACCUGUGUGCCAUCAUCAUCAUCAUCAUCAUCAUCAUCAUC